AGUGGAUCAGACAGUCGCGGCGGCAAGGCGAAAGCCUGCCGAUGAGGAAAGUCCGGGCUCCACAGGGCAAGGAUAACGGGUAACGCCCGCCGAAGGCGACUUCAGGAAAAGUGCAACAGAGAUAUACCGCCGCGCGAUUCUUUCGGGAGUGAUCCUGAAGGAAUGAAGGCACAGUGAAAUGGACGGGCUGUACCGCUUGCGGUACGGCAAACGGCAUGGCACAUGAGCCGGCGCGGUAAGGGUGGAAAGGUGAGGUAAGAGCUCACCCGAUGGCGCGGAAGUGUCCAUCGCUGUAAACUCUAUCCGGAGCAACACCGGUAUGGGGACAUUGGCUGGCCCGGCCGUCCCCGGGGUGGCUUGAGCGAACCGGCAACGGUGCGCCUAGAUAGAUGACUGUCAAGACAGAACCCGGCUUACAGAUCGGCUCGU
rnacentral:RNase_P_RNA from 1 species